AUUGAACGCUGGUGGCAGGCCUAACACAUGCAAGUCGAGCGGAUGAAGGGAGCUUGCUCCUGGAUUCAGCGGCGGACGGGUGAGUAAUGCCUAGGAAUCUGCCUGGUAGUGGGGGAUAACGUCCGGAAACGGGCGCUAAUACCGUAUACGUCCUGAGGGAGAAAGUGGGGGAUCUUCGGACCUCACGCUAUCAGAUGAGCCUAGGUCGGAUUAGCUAGUUGGUGGGGUAAAGGCCUACCAAGGCGACGAUCCGUAACUGGUCUGAGAGGAUGAUCAGUCACACUGGAACUGAGACACGGUCCAGACUCCUACGGGAGGCAGCAGUGGGGAAUAUUGGACAAUGGGCGAAAGCCUGAUCCAGCCAUGCCGCGUGUGUGAAGAAGGUCUUCGGAUUGUAAAGCACUUUAAGUUGGGAGGAAGGGCAGUAAGUUAAUACCUUGCUGUUUUGACGUUACCAACAGAAUAAGCACCGGCUAACUUCGUG
rnacentral:rRNA from 1 species